rnacentral:rRNA from 1 species
UACGAAGGGGGCUAGCGUUGCUCGGAAUUACUGGGCGUAAAGGGCGCGUAGGCGGAUAUUUAAGUCGGGGGUGAAAGCCCAGGGCUCAACCCUGGAAUAGCCUUCGAUACUGGAUAUCUUGAGUUCGGGAGAGGUGAGUGGAACUCCGAGUGUAGAGGUGAAAUUCGUAGAUAUUGGGAAGAACACCAGUGGCGAAGGCGGCCAUCUGGCCUGGAAUUGACGCUGAGGCGCGAAAGCGUGGGGAGCAAACAGG